rnacentral:rRNA from 1 species
GGGGUCGACACAGGACUACACAUGCAGUCGGGCGGUACAGGAAAGCGCUUGCGCUUUUGCUGACGAGCGGCGGACGGGGAGGAUGUCUGGGGAUCUGCCCGAGGGCGGGGGAUAACCACUGGAAACGGUGGCUAAUACCGCAUAAUGUCGCAAGACCAAAGUGGGGGACCUGAAAGGGCCUCACGCCGUCGGAUGAACCCAGAUGGGAUUAGCUGGUAGGUAGGGUAAUGGCCUACCUAGGCGACGAUCCCUAGCUGGUCUGAGAGGAUGACCAGCCACACUGGGACUGAGACACGGCCCAGACUCCUACGGGAGGCAGCAGUGGGGAAUAUUGCACAAUGGGCGCAAGCCUGAUGCAGCCAUGCCGCGUGUAUGAAGAAGGCCUUCGGGUUGU